AACGAACGCUGGCGGCAUGCCUAACACAUGCAAGUCGAACGAGACCUUCGGGUCUAGUGGCGCACGGGUGCGUAACGCGUGGGAACCUGCCCUUAGGUUCGGAAUAACUCCCCGAAAGGGGUGCUAAUACCGGAUAAUGUCUUCGGACCAAAGAUUUAUCGCCUUUGGAUGGGCCCGCGUUGGAUUAGCUAGUUGGUAGGGUAAAAGCCUACCAAGGCGACGAUCCAUAGCUGGUCUGAGAGGAUGAUCAGCCACACUGGGACUGAGACACGGCCCAGACUCCUACGGGAGGCAGCAGGGGGGAAUAUUGGACAAUGGGGGAAAGCCUGAUCCAGCAAUGCCGCGGGAGUGAUGAAGGCCUUGGGGUUGUAAAGCUCUUUUCCCCGGGAUGAUAAUGACAGUACCGGGAGAAUAAGCUCCGGCUAACUCCGU
rnacentral:rRNA from 1 species